rnacentral:rRNA from 1 species
CAGUCGCCGCGGGAAUACGAAGGGGGCUAGCGUUGCUCGGAAUGACUGGGCGUAAAGGGCGCGUAGGCGGCGAUCAAAGUCAGGCGUGAAAUUCCUGGGCUCAACCUGGGAGCUGCGCUUGAUACUUGGUUGCUUGAGUGGGGAAGAGGGUCGUGGAAUUCCCAGUGUAGAGGUGAAAUUCGUAGAUAUUGGGAAGAACACCGGUGGCGAAGGCGGCGACCUGGUCCUUGACUGACGCUGAGGCGCGAAAGCGUGGGGAGCAAACAGGAUUAGAUACCCCAGUAGUCCCUGUCUCUUAUAC